rnacentral:lncRNA from 1 species
GGAUUAUCCUACCUACAACAGCAGAAUCGAUUGUCCUACGUACAACAGACAAAUAGAUUUUUCUACUUACAAUAGACGAAUCGAUUGUUAUUACUAUAAAAGAGGAAUCGAUAGUGUUACCUACAACAUAUGAAUCGAUUGUUCUUCUUAUAACAACGGAAUCGAUUGUCCGAACUAUCAAAGAGGAAUCGAUAGUUUUACAUACAACAUAUGAAUCGAUUGUUCUUCUUAUAACAACGGAAUCGGUUGUUCUUACUAUCAAAGAGGAAUCGAUAGUUUUACCCGCAACAGAUUAAUCGAUUGUUCUUCUUAUAACAACGGAAUCGAUUGUCCGAACUAUCAAAGAGGAAUCGAUAGUUUUAGUUUGUUACCCCGAUUUUAUUUUUUGUCCAUGGAUUUUUGAGUUUUGAACAGCGGUAUACUACUGUUGCCUUUAUUUACCUACAACAGAUGAAUCGAUUGAUCUUCUCUUUUUUUUUUAAUAUCGAUUGAUCUUUUACAGGACACAGUUUUUCUGAAUAAACGAAGGAAUUGAUGACCAUAAUUCUUUUUAAUUAAUCAGUGUAAUAUUUUAAUAUGUGCUUAUUUCAAUUUUGUCACAC